GGAGGUGUAGCUCAGUGGUAGAUCAUUCGACUGCAGAUCGAGAGGUCCCCGGUUCAAAUCCGGAUGCUCCCUUCU
rnacentral:tRNA from 1 species